UCCGUAGGCGGGCAGCUCAGUCAGUGGUGAAAGUUUGCAGCUCAACUGUAAAAUUGCCAUUGAUACUGGUUGUCUUGAAUCAUUAUGAAGUGGUUAGAAUAUGUAGUGUAGCGGUGAAAUGCAUAGAUAUUACAUAGAAUACCAAUUGCGAAGGCAGAUCACUAAUAAUGUAUUGACGCUGAUGGACGAAAGCGUGGGGAGCGAACAGGAUUAGAUACCCUGGUAGUCC
rnacentral:rRNA from 1 species